GAUUCUGGCUGAUGAUGUCAUUGACACAAGGAAGAAAAUGUAAAAUAGGAGGCCUUCAAUCGGCUUGCUGGUGAGCAUCACACACACAGCGGAGGCCAAGACCAGCUGAGGCCCGAGACCAGCUGAGGUAUGGCUAUCGCUCUGCAGAGCACCCUGGAAGUGGUGUGGUUGGGGCUCCUCUUUAGCGCGCUCUGGAUGGUUGCAGAGAACAAGAACCAGGUAUUUCAGCACUCCACCAUGGUGUCUUCGGAGGGAGCUGUGGUGGAAAUCUCCUGUAAUCACUCGAUAUCCAAUGCAUACAACUUCUUCUGGUACCUCCAUUUCCCAGGAUGUGCACCAAGACUCCUUGUAAAGGGGUCAAGACCUUCUCAGGAGGGACGCUACAACAUGACAUAUGAGCGAUUCUCUUCUUCACUGCUCAUCCUCCAGGUGCAGGUGGCAGAUGCUGCCACUUACUACUGUGCUGUGGAGGACACAGAGGCAGAGAACCCACGGAGUGCUGAACAGAAACAAGGAGAGAGCACAGCCUUUGCAGGAGGUAGACAAGAGAGCAGCAAUAACUGCUUCCCCCCUAAUUCAGUGUUCCCCAAGCUUUUAUGUUUGGCACUGCUAUUAAAAUGUAUUUUGAGUUCAGACACACUCUGUAUCAUUAAGCUCUCAGUUCAGUGGUGACAAGGAGAGAAAAAUUCCCUUUACACUCAAAUCCAGGAAUUUGUUUAUAUAUAUAGAGAUUCCCCUCUCUAUUGUACACUUUGAACAAUUCCUCACUAGCUUAUAUUUCUCUAAAAAUGUAAUUCCUAGAAUGUAACAGCACACCCCAGAUGUAGCUUGACCCAUUAUUAAACUACAUGGAAACAAUGAGAAAACUGGGUCAGGAUGAGGAAAGGUAUUAAACUGGAAAACUAAACAAUCUCUUGAGUUCACUGAGAUAUGAGGAUCAUUGAUCUAUUGUCUCUUUUAUUUGGAGUAGCAGAGCAGUAGAUUGAAUCAUGGAUUUCCCCAUUUUUUUUUUGAGAUUUCUCUAAUUCAUGUGAAAAAGACUGAUUUUUCUUUUAGUUGGACUGUUUUAUGUGUUAAAGUUUCA